UAUAUCAGUCAUGCAUAGCAUAUCAAUAAGCGGAGGAAAAGAAACUAACAAGGAUUCCCUUAGUAACGGCGAGUGAAGCGGGAAGAGCUCAAAUUUGAAAUCUUCAAGGUUUUACCUUGACGAAUUGUAGUUUAAAGAAGUGUUUUCUGUUGAAGUUUUGGUAAAAGUUCUUUGGAAUAGGACAUCAUAGAGGGUGAGAAUCCCGUAUUUGACCAUUACUUUCAGCUUUGUGAUACACUUUCAAAGAGUCGGAUUGUUUGGGAAUGCAGUCCAAAAUGGGUGGUAAAUUUCAUCUAAAGCUAAAUAUUGGCGAGAGACCGAUAGCGAACAAGUACCGUGAGGGAAAGAUGAAAAGAACUUUGAAAAGAGAGUUAAACAGUACGUGAAAUUGUCAAAAGGGAAGCGUUUGACACCAGUGUUGUUUUCUCGAAAAUCAAUUAAAAAGAGUUGGAUUUUGUGUUGUAUUGACUUUAUCAGCUUUCUUCACUCUUUUCCAGCUUUUUUUAAUGCACUUUUCGUUUAACAAGUCAACAUCAGUUUCUUUUGUUGUAAAAAGGUCAUUGGAAGGUGGCUUUCUCUUCGGAGAAAGUGUUUAUAGCCUUUGACUCAUGCAAUCGGAGAGACUGAGGUCUGCAGCGUAGAUCCUUCGGGGUUAGAUACAUUUGUGCUAAGUUAUAGCUUUUUCAUAGACAACUUGUUGACUAUGUUUAGUCUUGUAGCUUACUCGCUUAUGCUAUUUUACCUACGCUUAGGAUGUUGAACUCUAUCACACACAG
rnacentral:rRNA from 1 species